rnacentral:rRNA from 1 species
GAUGAACGCUGGCGGCGUGCCUAAUACAUGCAAGUCGAGCGAACAGACGAGGAGCUUGCUCCUCUGACGUUAGCGGCGGACGGGUGAGUAACACGUGGUUAACCUACCUAUAAGACUGGGAUAACUUCGGGAAACCGGAGCUAAUACCGGAUAAUAUAUUGAACCGCAUGGUUCAAUAGUGAAAGACGGUUUUGCUGUCACUUAUAGAUGGAUCCGCGCCGCAUUAGCUAGUUGGUAAGGUAACGGCUUACCAAGGCAACGAUGCGUAGCCGACCUGAGAGGGUGAUCGGCCACACUGGAACUGAGACACGGUCCAGACUCCUACGGGAGGCAGCAGUAGGGAAUCUUCCGCAAUGGGCGAAAGCCUGACGGAGCAACGCCGCGUGAGUGAUGAAGGUCUUCGGAUCGUAAAACUCUGUUAUUAGGGAAGAACAAAUGUGUAAGUAACUAUGCACGUCUUGACGGUACCUAAUCAGAAGGCCACGGCUAACUACGUG